rnacentral:rRNA from 1 species
CAAGGAUUCCCCUAGUAACUGCGAGUGAAGCGGGAAAAGCUCAAAUUUAAAAUCUGGCGGUCUUUGGCCGUCCGAGUUGUAAUUUAGAGAAGCGUCUUCCGCGCCGGACCGUGCACAAGUCUCCUGGAAUGGAGCGUCAUAGAGGGUGAGAAUCCCGUCUUUGGCACGGAUGCCUGGUGCUCUGUGAUGCGCUCUCGAAGAGUCGAGUUGUUUGGGAAUGCAGCUCAAAAUGGGUGGUGAACUCCAUCUAAAGCUAAAUAUUGGCGAGAGACCGAUAGCGAACAAGUACCGUGAGGGAAAGAUGAAAAGCACUUUGGAAAGAGAGUGAAACAGUACGUGAAAUUGUUGAAAGGGAAACGCUUGAAGUCAGUCGCGUCGACCGAGACUCAGCCUUGCCUCGGCUUGGUGUACUUCUCGGCCCGACGGGUCAGCGUCAAUUUUGCCCCUCGGAUAAUGGCAAGGGAAAGGUGGCACCUUUACGGGUGUGUUAUAGUCUCCUGUCGCAUGCGAGGGGUGGGAUUGAGGAACUCAGCGCGCACCUUUGGUGUCGGGGCUUCGGCCCACGU